rnacentral:rRNA from 1 species
UAUAGUUNGAUCCUGNNUCAUAACGAUCGUUAGCGGCGCGCCUAACACAUGCNAGUCGAGCGAGAAANGGCUUCGGCCCCGGUAAAGCGGCGCACGGGUGAGUAACACGUGGGUAAUCUUCCCUCGAGCGGGGGAUAACAUUCCGAAAGGAGUGCUAAUACCGCAUAAGACCACGGUGUCNAAAGAUGCUGAGGUAAAAGCUGNCCUCUGUACACAAGCUAGCACUCGAGGAUGAGCCCGCGUCCCAUCAUGGUAGUUGGUAGGGUAACGGCCUACCAAGCCGAAGACGGGUAGCUGGUCUGAGAGGAUGAUCAGCCACACUGGAACUGAGACACGG